UACGAAGGGGGCUAGCGUUGUUCGGAUUUACUGGGCGUAAAGCGCACGUAGGCGGACUAUUAAGUCAGGGGUGAAAUCCCGGGGCUCAACCCCGGAACUGCCUUUGAUACUGGUAGUCUUGAGUUCGAGAGAGGUGAGUGGAAUUCCCGGUGUAGCGGUGAAAUGCGCAGAUAUCGGGAGGAACACCAGUGGCGAAGGCGGCACUCUGGGCCAGUACUGACACUGAGGAGCGAAAGCGUGGGGAGCGAACAGG
rnacentral:rRNA from 1 species